GAUGAAGAACGUAGUGAAAUGCGAUAAGUAAUGUGAAUUGCAGAAUUCAGUGAAUCAUCGAAUCUUUGAACGCAUCUUGCGCUCCUUGGUAUUCUGAGGAGCAUGCCUGUUUGAGUGUCAUUAAAUUCUCAACUUCACUGACUUUGAAUUGGUGUGGCUUGGAUUUGGGGGGAAAAUUGUUGUGGGCUUUUUGUAUAGUCUGCUCCCCUGAAAUUGAUUAGCGGUACCUUUGUGGAACUGUCUACAGGUGUGAUAAUUAUCUACAUCUUAGACAUCUGCUGGAAUGCUGCUUUCUAAACCUUACUUGUAUUGACAAUCUUGACCUCAAAUCAGGUAGGACUACCCGCUGAACUUAAGCAUAUCAAUAAGCGGAGGA
rnacentral:misc_RNA from 1 species